GACAGAGGGUGCGAACGUUGUUCGGAAUUACUGGGCGUAAAGCGCGUGUAGGCGGUCAUGCAAGUCGGGCGUGAAAUCCCUGGGCUCAACCGAGGAAGUGCGCACGAAACUGCACGACUGGAGUUCCGGAGAGGAUGGUGGAAUUCUCGGUGUAGAGGUGAAAUUCGUAGAUAUCGAGAGGAACACCAGUGGCGAAGGCGGCCAUCUGGACGGAAACUGACGCUGAGACGCGAAAGCGUGGGUAGCAAACAGG
rnacentral:rRNA from 1 species